UGAGGAAUAUUGGACAAUGGGCGCAAGCCUGAUCCAGCCAUGCCGCGUGCAGGAUGACGGUCCUAUGGAUUGUAAACUGCUUUUAUACGAGAAGAAACACUCCGACGUGUCGGAGCUUGACGGUAUCGUAAGAAUAAGGAUCGGCCAACUCCGUGCCAGCAGCCGCGGUAAUACGGAGGAUCCAAGCGUUAUCCGGAAUCAUUGGGUUUAAAGGGUCCGUAGGCGGUUUAAUAAGUCAGUGGUGAAAGCCCAUCGCUCAACGGUGGAACGGCCAUUGAUACUGUUAGACUUGAAUUAUUAGGAAGUAACUAGAAUAUGUAGUGUAGCGGUGAAAUGCUUAGAGAUUACAUGGGAUACCAAUUGCGAAGGCAGGUUACUACUAAUGGAUUGACGCUGAUGGACGAAAGCGUGGGUAGCGAACA
rnacentral:rRNA from 1 species